GCUGACACGUCCCGGCCAAUCUCCAGCAGACCCUCCCUCCCAGACCCUCCUACUUCCUGGACAGCAUCCAUGUUGAAUAAUAUUAUUAUUGUUGAAACAUGGAUGCUGUCCAGGAAGUAGGAGGGUCUGGGAGGGAGGGUCUGCUGAAGAUUGGCCGGGACGUGUCAG